rnacentral:rRNA from 1 species
CCGCGAGGUGAAGCCAAUCCCAUAAAGCCAUUCUCAGUUCGGAUUGCAGGCUGCAACUCGCCUGCAUGAAGCCGGAAUUGCUAGUAAUCGCGGAUCAGCAUGCCGCGGUGAAUACGUUCCCGGGUCUUGUACACACCGCCCGUCACACCACGAGAGUUUGUAACACCCGAAGUCGGUGAGGCAACCUUUUGGAGCCAGCCGCCUAAGGUGGGACAAAUGAUUGGGGUGAAGUCGUAACAAGGUAGCCGUAUCGGAAGGUGCGGCUGGAUCACCUCCUUU